rnacentral:rRNA from 1 species
AAAAAAACUCUCUCUCACCAAUCUCACCCCACCCCUCGGUCGAGCUACUCUCCCCCACGAUCUCCUCGCCGCCGCCGCUGCCGCCCACGCCGGCACGCUCGUCGCCGCUGCCACCGCCCACACCGGCACGCUCGUCGUCGCCGUCGUCGUCUCGGGAUCUACCUCCUCAUCGGCUUCCUCUCCCCCAUGGUCGACCCCAAGCUCGACCCGUCCGUGGCCCAUGACGGGCACGCCCUCCCCAACCGCAGAUCUGGCGAGUUCAAGCACUUCGUCAGGAGGCUCCCGGAGUUCAAGUUCUGUCAGAGGGGAGAAAGCUAA